CCCCACCCAUGCUGCUGUGCCACUCCUGCCUGGGACUAGGGAAACUCAAAAGGGUGAGGGGUGCCUCCAUCCCUCGAGACAAUGAGCCAAGUCUCUGAGAGGGGUGAGCAAGGUGCUGGAGGCAGUGCCUGUGGAGGGGGUGGGCCCUGAAGAUUGAGAUCUUCUUGGCUGUGUUGAAACUGAGUCUCGUGCUGGGCCUGGAGGCACAGAGCCAUCUGCAGAUAAGCAAGCUGGGCUGGAAUGCAGUGGUGCAAUAUUGGCUCACCGCAACCCUAUGCCUCC
rnacentral:lncRNA from 1 species